GAUGAACGCUGGCGGCGUGCCUAAUACAUGCAAGUCGAGCGAACAGACGAGGAGCUUGCUCCUUUGACGUUAGCGGCGGACGGGUGAGUAACACGUAGGUAACCUACCUAUAAGACUGGGAUAACUUCGGGAAACCGGAGCUAAUACCGGAUAAUAUUUCGAACCGCAUGGUUCGAUAGUGAAAGAUGGCUUUGCUUUCACUUAUAAAUGGACCUGCGCCUAAUUAGCUAGUUGGUAAGGUAACGGCUUACCAAGGCAACGAUACGUAGCCGACCUGAGAGGGUGAUCGGCCACACUGGAACUGAGACACGGUCCAGACUCCUACGGGAGGCAGCAGUAGGGAAUCUUCCGCAAUGGGCGAAAUCCUGACGGAGCAACGCCGCGUGAGUGAUGAAGGUCUUCGGAUCGUAAAACUCUGUUAUUAGGGAAGAACAAACGUGUAAGUAACUGUGCACGUCUUGACGGUACCUAAUCAGAAAGCCACGGCUAACUACGUG
rnacentral:rRNA from 1 species